GUGGAAUAUGUGGAAAAGAGUUUAAAAAAAAAUCACAUAUGUCAAGACACAUGCACAUUCAUACUGGUGAAAAACCAUACGAGUGUAAUAAGUGUGGGAAAGCUUUUAUCGAGAAUAGCAGCUUAAAACGACAUAUGAGAAUACACAAUCGUGAAAGUAAAAAAUGCCAUCUUGUCUCGAGUAACCUGUGUUCUGAUAAGAUAAAAACUGAACCAAUUCCGGUUGAUGGAAAACGUUUUAAAUGUGAAAUCUGUGGUAGACAGUUUAAUAAAAAGUCAUAUUUGUCAAGACACAUGCGCAUUCAUACCGGGGAUAAACCAUACGUGUGUAACAAGUGUGGAAAAGGGUUUAUGGAGAGAAAUAAACUAACACGACAUGAGAAAAGUGUACAUAUUCAUGAAAGUAAAAAGCUCCAUGUCGUCUCGAGUAACAUAUGUUCUGAGGAGAAUAAUAUUGAAACAAUUCCAAUUGAUGAAAAAUCGUCUAGAUGUGUCGAAAAUGGUACUUCAAACUUACAAACGUACGCAAUAACAAAUGAUAAAAGUGUACAUAUUCAUGAAAGUCAAAAACUCGAUUUUGUUUCAAGUAACUUAUGUUCUGAGGAGGAUAAAAUUAAACCAAUUCCAAUAGAUGAAAAAUCGUCUAAAUGUGUCGAAAAUGAUAUUUCAAACUUACAAACGUACGCAAUAAGAAACACAUUUAUUUCAAAUCAGGGUGCUCUAAUAUCUAAUGAAGUUGUUACUUGUAGUAAGCUAAAUGACCACGAAGACAAACUGAAACAAAUGGAAACUGCUUAUGGUUACACACACGAAAUCGAUGAGGGUAAACAAAUCGGUCAAACGAAUCAGAUACCUAAUUGUGUCUUGGGUAACAUGUGUUCUCGUGAGGUUAACCCUACUCCAAUUCCGACUGAUGCCGAACCUUCUAAAUGCAGAGAAAAUGGAAAUUCGCAUUUUCAAACGUCCGCGAAAAUUAACACCUGUAUUACAAAUCAUGAAUCUUUUACACGUGAUCAAGUUGUUAACAAACUAGAUGAAGACAAAUUGGAACAUAUGAAAACAACUUAUGAUAACACACAUAAAAGUGAUGAUGGUAAAGAAAUGGGUAAAACGGAACACAUACCCAAUUUUGUCUCGGGUAAUAUAUGUUCCCAAGAGUUUGAGCCUACAUCAUUUCCGACUGAUGCACUAUCCUCAAAACAUAAUAAAUAUUGUACGCCACACUUACAAACGGACUUGACAACAAACACGUGUAUACCAAACCAGGAACCUGUAAAAUGUGACGAAGUCGUUAGUAAGUUAGAUAAUUGUCAAGACAAAUUGGAACAUAUGGGAACAUGUAAUAGUGGAACACAUAAAACUGAUGCUGAUGAAGGAAUUGGUGAAACGGGACAUAUGCCGAUAAACAGAAAAUCUACAUAUAAACCUUUUAAGUGCAAGGAUUGUGGAAAAGAGUUUUGUCAUGAAAGCAGAUUUCAGACACAUGUCUUACGAGAACAUUCAGAGGAAAAACCUUUCGAGUGCAAAGAAUGUGGCCAAGGUUUUAUGAAAGACAAACAUUUGCAGGCACAUUUAGGACUACAUUCUGGUGAAAGACCUUUUAAGUGCGACGAAUGUGGUAAAGGAUUUAUGACGAAGCCUUCUUUAAAGUCACACAUGAUAACACAUUCCAGCAGCAGACCUUUUAAGUGCAAUAUAUGUGGCAAAACAUUUAAGGUAUGGGCACCCUUAGAAAAUCAUGUACGAACUCACUCAUUCGAAGACCAGUUUGAAUGCGAUUUAUGCGGGAAACGAUUUGCUAUGAAGAAAAGUUUAAAAAUUCACAGGAGAGUUCACACAGGUGAAAAAACAGCAUGUAAAAUUUGUGAGCAGGAAUUCACGUUUAUCAGCAGUUUGAAAUUACACAUGAGAACGCAUACAGGUGAAAAACCCUACAAGUGUUCUUAUUGCGGAAAGCAUUUCAGUCGCAGUCGGUAUUUAAAAGUACACAUUAAAAUACACACUGGUGAAAAACCGUACAUGUGCGAUGAGUGUGGUAAACAGUUUAUUGGUGGAAGGGAAAUGAGAAAACAUAAGAAAACACACCAAAAAAAAGUUGUAUGUAAUUCGAGUAACUCUUUUGAUCAAUAGUUUGUUAAUGACCAAUUUUGGGAGACGUCACCAAGCAUUGUAUCACAGCAAUGGAAUAAAUCAACAUUUUUUGUAUGUUUUAAUAUAAUUUUUAUCUUUGUCCUCAGCUGGCCCCUAAAUAAAAGUGUGUACUACAUUUGUACUUUAGUGAACCUGGACGUUUCACAAAAC
rnacentral:lncRNA from 1 species